UACGUAGGGUGCGAGCGUUGUCCGGAAUUAUUGGGCGUAAAGGGCUCGUAGGCGGUCUGUCACGUCGGGAGUGAAAGCCCCGGGCUUAACCCUGGGAAUGGCGCUUGGGACGGGGUGGCUAGAGAUCGGGAGAGGAGAGUGGAAUUCCCAGUGUAGAGGUGAAAUGCGUAGAUAUCUGAAGGAACAUCAGUGGCGAAAAGCGACUUCCUGGACCAAUACUGACGCUCAUGUGCGAAAGCGUGGGGAG
rnacentral:rRNA from 1 species